AUUGAACGCUGGCGGCAUGCUUUACACAUGCAAGUCGAACGGUAACAGGCCGCAAGGUGCUGACGAGUGGCGAACGGGUGAGUAAUGCAUCGGAACGUGCCCAGUCGUGGGGGAUAACUACUCGAAAGAGUAGCUAAUACCUCAUACGAUCUAUGGAUGAAAGCGGGGGACCGUAAGGCCUCGCGCGAUUGGAGCGGCCGAUGUCAGAUUAGUUAGUUGGUGGGGUAAAGGCUCACCAAGCCAACGAUCUGUAGCUGGUCUGAGAGGACGACCAGCCACACUGGGACUGAGACACGGCCCAGACUCCUACGGGAGGCAGCAGUGGGGAAUUUUGGACAAUGGGCGCAAGCCUGAUCCAGCAAUGCCGCGUGCAGGAAGAAGGCCUUCGGGUUGUAAACUGCUUUUGUACGGAACGAAACGGCUCUGGUUAAUACCCGGGGCUAAUGACGGUACCGUAAGAAUAAGCACCGGCUAACUACGUG
rnacentral:rRNA from 1 species